rnacentral:lncRNA from 1 species
GUCCGCUCCCAUAGCGGCCGUGGGAACUCAGCGGCACAGAUGUUUCUGCCCCUUGUACAAAUGAGGAAGCUGGGGUUCACACUGCUUCGACAGGCUCAACUGUGCCCAAAACUAGAGAGGAAUCAUCCACAAAAGAGUGCGGCGGCCAAGACUUCGGAAACGCGGCUGGGCUGCUGAGUGCUGCUCCAACAGGGAUCUACCAAUGGACAGUAAAAUGAAUGAUGAAGAGGAUGAUUUCAGAAAAUGCUGGAAAGAUCUACAUGAACUGAUGCAGAGCAAAAUGAGCGGAACUGGGAGAACAUUGUAUAUAGUAACAGCAAUAUUGUACGAUGAUCAACUAUGAAAACUUGACUAUUCUUGGCAAUGUAAUAAUCUGGGACAAUCCUGAAAGACAUUUGAUAGGGAAUAGUAUCCACAUCCAGAGAAAGAACUGUUAGAGCUAUCUUUCACAUGAAUGUAUUUAUGGUUUUAUUUUGGGGUUUUGAUUAUUAUAUCUGGGUGUGCUCUUACAACAAUGACCAAUAGGGAAGUGUGUUUUGCAUGACAAUAAGAA